CUGGCCUUGACAUCCAGAGAACUUUCCAGAGAUGGAUUGGUGCCUUCGGGAACUCUGAGACAGGUGCUGCAUGGCCGUCGUCAGCUCGUGUCAUGAGAUGUUGGGUUAAGUCCCGUAACGAGCGCAACCCCUAUCCCUGGUUGCUAGCAGGUAAUGCUGAGAACUCCAGGGAGACUGCCGGUGACAAACCGGAGGAAGGUGGGGAUGACGUCAGGUCAUCAUGGCCCUUACGGCCAGGGCUACACACGUGCUACAAUGGCGCGUACAGAGGGCUGCCAACUCGCGAGAGUGAGCCAAUCCCUUAAAACGCGUCGUAGUCCGGAUCGGAGUCUGCAACUCGACUCCGUGAAGUCGGAAUCGCUAGUAAUCGCGAAUCAGAAUGUCGCGGUGAAUACGUUCCC
rnacentral:rRNA from 1 species